CCCUUAGAUGUUCUGGGCCGCACGCGUGCUACACUGACCGGUGCAACAAGUUUCUUUCCUUGGCUCGAUAGGCCUGGGUAAUCUUUGAACACCGGUCGUGGUGGGGAUAGAUCCUUGCAAUUUUUGAUCUUCAACGAGGAAUUCCUAGUAAAUGCGAGUCAUCAUCUCGCGUUGAUUACGUCCCUGCCCUUUGUACACACCGCCCGUCGCACCUACCGAUUGAAUGGUCCGGUGAAGCCUCCGGAUUGGCGCGCACCUCGGUGCCGCCGAGAAGUUGGCUAAACCUUACCAUUUAGAGGAAGGUGAAGUCGUAACA
rnacentral:rRNA from 1 species